UUAGGUGGCCAUGGCGACGGGGCCCACCCCUUACCAUUCCGAACAGGGAAGUUAAGACCGUUUGCGCCGAUGGUACUGCUAUAUCAAGUGGGAGAGUAGGUAGCCGCCUUUUUCGAAAGCCCUUUACAAUAAUGUAAAGGGCUUUUUUUAUACCAUAGAU
rnacentral:rRNA from 1 species